GAUGAACGCUAGCGAUAGGCUUAACACAUGCAAGUCGAGGGGCAGCACAAGGUAGCUUGCUAUCUGGGUGGCGACCGGCGCACGGGUGCGUAACGCGUAUGCAACUUGCCCUAUACAGGAGGAUAACCCGUCGAAAGACGGACUAAUACUGCGUAUGCUCACAACUUGGCAUCAAGUGGUGAGGAAACAAAUUCGGUAUAGGAUAGGCAUGCGUCCCAUUAGCUUGUUGGUGAGGUAACGGCUCACCAAGGCAACGAUGGGUAGGGGAACUGAGAGGUUUAUCCCCCAGACUGGUACUGAGACACGGACCAGACUCCUACGGGAGGCAGCAGUGAGGAAGAUUGGUCAAUGGGCGCGAGCCUGAACCAGCCAAGUCGCGUGAAGGAGGACUGUCUUAUGGAUUGUAAACUUCUUUUAGACGGGAAUAACAAGAGUCACGUGUGACUCCCUGCAUGUACCGUAUGAAUAAGCAUCGGCUAACUCCGUG
rnacentral:rRNA from 1 species